rnacentral:lncRNA from 1 species
CCUUCACUUCAAAACUCCAUAACUUGCUCAAUUCUUAAUCUGUUGGGCAAACUUAUGCUUCACGUUUCCUCAAGCAGGUAGCUAUCACAUGGUUUUUGUUUGAGUUUCAUUUGAGUCCAUUUGGCCCACUUAUGGCCCAAUAAAACUCAAAAGGUCAAAACUAUCUUCCAUGUAAGUGCCCCUCAGGUUUGGCCUCAUUUCUCCCAAAUUGUCUUCUAUGGACAUUUUUCUUGUUCCACACACUUCUUUAAUAUUGGCUAUUCUUCAAUCAAAUUUGAGCCUUAAAUUCCGUGUAUUUUGGUUUCGGUAUACAAAUCAAUCAAUUAGAGCUUCUUAGGGAAUUUCCUCCCUCAUAUGAGGGAUUUCUCCCUUGAUUCUUCUCCCAACUGUUUUAUUAUGUUCCCAACGUAUUUUUUUACCUUUUAUGAUAUUGUUGUAGCCUCGAGAAGCAUUACUGGGUCUAAAAAACUUAGUUUCCUCUAUUGAGAAAAAACUCUUCUUAAGAGAUUUCGGAUCUCUAAAUCUCAUCGUUUUCAUUCCAUUUGACUUGAAACUUGGUAUGUAAACUUAAAUUAUGAUUCUAAUCACAUGCAUGCAUACAAUCAUACAUAUCAUAUACUCAAGACAAGCUUAGGGGAGAGUUAGGUUAUCACAUGAUAUCUCGCAUAUGUAAUAGAGAACAAAGAAUAAGAAGUAAACCUACAACAGAUACACAUGGUAAAGG